GACGAACCGUGCGAACGUUAUUCGGAAUCACUGGGCUUAAAGCGCGUGUAGGCGGGGCGGCACGUCGGCCGUUGAAAUCCCCCGGCUCAACCGGGGAAGGGGCGCCGAUACGACCGCCCUCGAGGGGCGUAGGGGGAGCCGGAACUUCCGGUGGAGCGGUGAAAUGCGUUGAGAUCGGAAGGAACGCCGGUGGCGAAAGCGACACACUGGACCUCUUCUGACGCUGAGGCGCGAAAGCUAGGGGAGCAAACGGG
rnacentral:rRNA from 1 species